ACAGAGGCCUCAAGCGUUAGGCGGAAUCACUGGGCUUAAAGCGUGUGUAGGCGGGUCGUUAAGUACCUUGUGAAAUCCCACGGCUCACCCGUGGAACGGCUGGGUAUACUGGCGAUCUUGGGCCAACUAGGGGCGACUGGAACAAGCGGUGGAGCGGUGAAAUGCGUAGAUAUCGCUUGGAACGCCGAAGGUGAAAACAGGUCGCUGGGGUUGUGCCGACGCUGAGACACGAAAGCCAGGGGAGCGAACAGGA
rnacentral:rRNA from 1 species